rnacentral:rRNA from 1 species
CAACGCCGCGUGAGCGAUGAAGGCCUUCGGGUCGUAAAGCUCUGUUGUUAAGGAAGAACAAGUACGAGAGUAACUGCUCGUACCUUGACGGUACUUAACGAGAAAGCCACGGCUAACUACGUGCCAGCAGCCGCGGUAAUACGUAGGUGGCGAGCGUUAUCCGGAAUUAUUGGGCGUAAAGCGCGCGCAGGCGGUUUCUUAAGUCUGAUGUGAAAGCCCACGGCUCAACCGUGGAGGGUCAUUGGAAACUGGGGAACUUGAGUGCAGAAGAGGAAAGCGGAAUUCCACGUGUAGCGGUGAAAUGCGUAGAGAUGUGGAGGAACACCAGUGGCGAAGGCGGCUUUCUGGUCUGUAACUGGCGCUGAGGCGCGAAAGCGUGGGGAGCAAACAGGAUUAGAUACCCUGGUAGUCCACGCCGUAAACGAUGAGUGCUAAGUGUUAGAGGGUUUCCGCCCUUUAGUGCUGAAGUUAACGCAUUAAGCACUCCGCCUGGGGAGUACGGUCGCAAGACUG